GUCCGUUUAUGGUCUGACCGAGAGAGUGUGGUAACUAGUGUGGGUUUCUUUGGGGGAAAAUGGCGGGACAUUGCACUGGACAUUCGAAAGAGAAAGCAAAAGGAAUCUUCAGCAUAAAAGUCAACCUUUGACAGAAAUGCUAAAAGGGCGUUGAGGGUGUCUCUGUUUGCAGCUGGGAGAAGACAACAUAGCAACUGGAGGGCUUCAAUUUCUUUGGCAGUGUCUGAAAUUCCUGGAUCAUGGAUCGGGUUACGUAGUAGAAGACGUCCAUAUCUUCAUCGAUCUUCUCCAGGACGUCCCAAGCUUCCAGCUCCUCGUCCCACAGGUGCCUGUGGCGGGCUGUCUGUUCACGAGGCGUUGAAUGGGAUGUGCACAUUUCCUCAAUGGGCAUCACGUGAUGACAGGGAUCACGUGCCCUCCUUAUCCUGGGACUUAAAAUCGAAGUUUUUGUUAAAAAAAAAAUAGGAAGAAAUAGGAAAUUAUUAUAAUCAAAUAAACCACUUUGAUAAGUUUUUAAAUUGCUGUUUUUCCGCAGUCCAAUAAAUCACAAUAAAUCAAUAAGACACGCCAUAACAUACUCUAUGGCUUCAAUUUUCUUGGUUUUAUUUUUCUCGUUGUGUGUUUUCGCGGAUGGCGGGCUGAUAACCAGUGCCCCUCUGGCCCUUCUGAGUGUCAAGGUCUAUUUACUCUACCACCACCAUUGAAAACGGCCCACAACGCUGCCAUUUUGUCAACAGAAAGAAUCCAUUCGCAUCCCUAUACUUAUAUUUCCUAGGCAUUAUUUACGGCAGAAUUUCUUUCUUCCUAGAAUAAAGCUUUGGUUUUAGACGUUUAUUUUUUAAUUACAAAGUCAAAAUGUGAUGGUAAUUAAAACAAAAAAUCAAUAACGGUGUGGCUAUAGGAGUAUCUAAGAGGACAGAUUGGUAUUUUAUUACCCUUCCAAGAAUAAAUUUUUGCUUUUAGACGUCUAUUUUGGAAUUUAAAAGUUACAAAAUGCUAUGGUAAUUAAAGGGAAACAAAAAUAAAGGAGGGUAUCUUUGAGGCAUUCCGUUACACUCCGUUACAAGGGUUAUUUACUCUCCGUUCAAUUACUAAGUAUUGGCGAUAUUAGGUUUAAUUGAAAGAAAAGAUCACAAGACAUCAAAGACUGCGGGGCAGCGGAGCUGGAGAAAGAGCGCGCGCAGGAGACACCGUGCUGGCUAUCGCUUCCCAUUCGGACCUUUUAAUCAGACAUUUACAUUAAACGUCACGAAAACAACUUCUCGCUAACAGUUUAUUGCGAUUAACUCAAAUACUCGCUCACGGGACCGUUCAGGGUUUAUCCCAUAGACGUGGGUCUCAGGGGUUUUCACUCAUGCUUGUUGAGAGGAUCGAUUUCCGACUGAUGACUGCAUUCACUGAUAACACAACGCUGGGUGAACAAUAAUAAACCUUUUGAUGGUCUGCGAUGCAAAGACCCCUGGCCUUAAUCCCUCAGUUCUCGCAUGAACUGUUCAAUGGUAAAGGAUUAGGGCAAGGUACUAUCGAUAGAGCAUAGUAGCAUCCCUAUUUGGCCCUAUGAUAAUACGCGAUAAAUGAUAAUGAGUUGGUGGGAGAAGUCAAACACUGCGCCGAGGUUACCACAGAGUUGGAAUACAAGCGAGGAAGUUUACUCUAACGGAGUAAACACGAAGACUUGGUGACUCCAAUGAAUGAACAUAAGGAGCCGGUCGCAGGGUCGGGCAAUGGCGUUCUAUAUUGGGCUCGAUUUUCACACUUGAUUAAAGUUACACCAAGGACAAUAAAUAAUAUCUAUCUAAACA